rnacentral:lncRNA from 1 species
AGUCUCAAAGUGACGCUCCAACGCACACCCUCGCUUAGUGCCCCUUUAUGACACUUAAGCAUCACGACUAAUCAUGCCCAAUUCAUGUCCCGUAAUCCAAUUAACUAGGUUCACUUUAGCCCGGGCCCCAUGCCUCUUUAUGACAUUGGCCCAAUCUCAAAUAGUCCAAGUUCUCAAGCCUUCUCUAGGCCUCUAAAAUUCCUAAAGAUCACAAUUGGCAUAUAGGUUAAAUGCAUGAAAGCAAGGUUCAUUUCCACAAUAGGAACCAUGAUCCACAAUCCUAACUAGAAUGCUAAGUCUCACAUGCAUGCACUCUACCACAUAGGGGUCUAAAAUUUUACUAUACAUAAUAUAUGCAUGUUAAGCAUUCUAAAAUUCAUAUUAAAUACAUUUAACAUGGAAAUGCAUAAAUUUCUAUUUUUCGAAACAUAUUUGCCAAAUAUGAGCAUUUCUCAUAUCAUAGGCUAGGUCAAACCCACCGAACCGUCGCGUGCUCCUUCGAUUCGUCGAACGGAGUUGUCCACGAGCCUCUAGAUACCCUAAAAGUGAUCAGCGAAGAGGUACGAGAGCAUUACGACCAACCGUAAGAUCAAACAUUAACCUAGAAGCAAAAAAGGCCAAAACUCACCUCAAGAGUAGAAAUCUUCUCCUAAGCCCCAAAAGAGAGCUAGAACCCUUCCAAUCCAAGCCCUAGGAAGGUUCUAAACCAACCAAUCAAGCCUCAAAAGCCCUAGGUUCAAAAAGCCCAAAAUAAACCCUAAGUCUCAAAACUAGGGUUCCAAAUGGUAAAACCUACCAAAUCAAGGGUUCAAGGGUAGAAUCCAAGUACUAACCUCCCAAGGUGCCUCCAAACAAGCUCCAAAUCUUCUAGGGUUGAAGAUUGGCCCACCACCAAGCUCUACAAGCAAGCUCCAAGCCUUGCAAAGGUGGAAAAGAGAGAAUGGGGUUGAGCUCCAAGCUCCCUUAAGCUAGCUCCUCUCCUUCUUCUCCUCCUUCUUCUUCUUCUUCUCUCUCUAGGAAGUGUAGGGUGGGGAUGAGAAUGAGAAAAUGAGAGAGGGGAGAGGAGGAAAUGGCUAAUAAGCCCAUCUAGUGUAACAAAAUCCAACCAGGCCCCUCAAAAAUCCAAUAUUGCAACAGCCCGGUCUGGGCAGUUUUCGCCCAGAGGGACCGGUCUCUCCCCAGCAGGGACCGGUCUCUCGCUGCGAACCCGAAAAACCAGCGUUCGGGAACCGGUCUCUCCCUGCGCGGGACCGGUCUCUCACUGCGAAGACGCGUUCGGGAACCGGUCUCGCCUGCCAGGGACCGGUUGCCUCAGGCUGCCUCAACACUGCUCACUGGGGGAACCGGUCUCUCCUUCCAGGGACCGGUCCCCGAGAGUAAAAACUCUCAGGACUUGUCCAAAGUUCCAGAUUUCGAACUUUUCGGGUCGGGAAACAUUUUACAACCCUCCACCAAGUGUGGAAAAGCUCGAAAUACAUCCAAACACUCGAACCUCGCAAUUUGCAAAGGUCCAGUGUGUUACACCUUCGCUUCAAAUAAUGGCGCCUCUUCCGCCAUUGCCUACUCGCCCUUCAUUGGACUAUACUCUGCUUAGGCCAUAUCUUGAUUCAGACCCUGUUAGGUUUAUCCUGGGUCCCUCCUUUACCGCAG